ACCCACCAAUUCAUCAGCCAACCUGUCCUCUUCAACUGUGCAGGGAAAGAGAAUAUAGGCAACCAUAACACAUCUGGAUAGUACCUUCUUAGGAACUCCUGUUGCAUCUUUACUCAGUUUAGUAGCCAUAUAAAUAACGAUGUCCCCAGAAGGAUAAAAAAAGGAGGCAGCUGAGGAGAAAAACAAAACUCCCACUGGAAGAAACACGAUGAUAUGAAAAAGCCAGAUGUAUCAGGUGUGACAAUCUUGUGCACAGUACCUGGCACACAUAUGUGUUCAUCACGUAAGGUGAUUGUUGUGAUGAUCUGUUGAGGCUGGCUUCAGACAGAACUGGGAAAAUGAUUCAGGACUUCAUGUUGAAGCAGCAGGGUGUGAAGUCACAGCGUCUCGGGCUGCAUUUCCUUUUUUUCUGAUUCUGUAGCGUUGCGCAGUGUCACAGCCCGAGUGCCCUCUCACCCAGACACAUCUGACGUUGACAUGCAGGCUGGACAUACAGUGGGCCUCGAUUGCUUAGAAGCCAAACUGAACUCACCAAGAAAAGAAGACAGGAGAAACUUCUCAAGAGGAAUAUCUCCAAAUUGCAGGAUCGAAUACCAUAAGAGGAAUUCUGGACUGAAGAGUUAUGAAGUCAUUUCAGACACUUCCAGACAAUUUGUGUUA
ensembl:lncRNA DAB1-AS1 DAB1 antisense RNA 1